rnacentral:lncRNA from 1 species
CUCUAUUUUAAUUAAAUUAAAUCGUUCAUUGUUAAAAGCUUCUAGAAGUUUACUUUUUUCUGGCUUAAAGGGAUAAUACUAAGGUACAACUCUACUAGAGUCUCAUGAAAACUUCAGUGAUCAAAAGCUGCUCUCCUCCCUUUGAGAAACCCCUCUUUUAACCCUUACAAGAGGAAGAGGACAGAUUGUGGAAAUGGCCCAAACAUUUAGAAAAAAGAAAUAUCAGAGAAGGAUUCAGAGAUAUUUUUAAAAAUGACUGAGAGAUGCUGGAUUUGAUGAUGAAGAUAUUGGUCAUGUUGGAGAGAUUCGGUUUCAGUACAAUAAUAAGCAAAAAUAUUAUUCAGCUGAGGCUCUUUUAUGCAGGAGAAAGAACAAGGAAGGAGAGUUGCAUACUGGGAGCUAAGAUGAUGAGUAAAGGAUGCUCGACUCCCUCAAUCCCCCCCCACUCCCACACCCAAAAGGAAAUAAAUUACUUCAAAACAAAGGAAAACUGGAGGAUCCUGCCUUACUCAGAUGAGAAGACAUAUUUCAAAAAGCAAAGAACCCAGAUCUACAACCUAGAAUUACGCUCCCAACAAAACUGAGCAUAAUCUUGUAGAGGAAAAAAAUGACAUUCAAUUAGAUAGAGGAAUUUCAGAAAUUUCUGACAAAAACCAGAGCUAAAAAGAAAAUUUUAUGAGCAAUUUUGACAUUCAAUAAAAGUUAAAUUAAAACUUAAG